AAAGGCCCUCGGAUGAGAAAAAGAAUUGAAACCCAGAAACUAUCGAGAAAGUUCUGUUUUUCCUAGAAGCAGAAACAAGAACGAAUUCACCUCGCUAUAAGUCAUAUGCAUAACUAUAGCAAGUAAAGAAUUCCAGAUAGUUUUGGAGAGAAAGUGAGGACGAGAGAGAGAGAGGAGAGAGAGAGCGAAAAGAAAAAAGAAGAAAAGAAAAGAACGAACGAACGAACGAACAAGCUGAGUCAUCCACAAUUGUUUUCUGAAGACUGGUCUUUCCAGAGCAUGCUGGUGAAUUAUGCAUUGUUUUUUAAACCUCAUCUCUGGGACCCCCCACUGCACUACAGAGCCUCACAGAAUAUAUUACCUUCUGCACCAUCUAUGCAGGACUCCAAUUCUGCUCAGGAUGACAAUGGACUCAACAACAACAAAAUAGCUGUGUUGCCCAGCUUCCUUUCCAACUGGAGUCGGCUACGGGAUAAGAUUCGGGCCAAUGACAUUUAAGAAAAACUUCCCGUUGCACUUCCAAGAAUCCAUUUUAAAAGGGGACCGAUUCAUCAGCAUAUGCUUUCUACCUUGAGUCCAGGGUUUCUCAACACUUUGGGCCAGGUAAUUCUUGUUGUGGGGUUUGUCCUGUAAAUUGUAGGAUGUUUAGCAGCAUCUUUGUCUUCUACAAAUUAGAUACCAGGAGCAACCCAUGCACCCCCUCCGCAAGUUGUGACAACCAAAAAUAUCUCCAUAUAUUGCCAAAUGUCCCCCUGGUGGCAAAAUCACCUCCAGCUGACAACUACUGCUUUAGCCUUUCCUCUUCUUCCUUUCUGGAAUGCUGAUGCAAUGCCAGAGGCAGAGCAGCCAUCUAGUAAUCACAAGGCAACACGUAUGAAGAAAAAAUCUACAUGCUGAAGAUGGUGGGAUGAAAAGCUGAUGGCAUUCGAAGCCCAGCAUAUUAGACCUGGACUGCCUCCCUCUUUUCCCUUCAUGACAUACAGAA